UCUCCGUUGGUGAACCAGCGGAGGGAUCAUUACCGAAGUUACCCUUCAAAACCCAUUGUGAACCAUACCUCUUGCCGCGUUGUCUCGGCGGGAGGCGCUGGGGCCUCGGCUCCGCGUCCCCGCCGGCAGCGCCAAACUCUAAACUGCAAAGCGUACUGCAUGUUCUGAUUUACAAAAAAAACAAGUUAAAACUUUCAACAACGGAUCUCUUGGUUCUG
rnacentral:misc_RNA from 1 species